CGAUUUAAACCUCUCUGAAAGACCUGAGCACCUGUUCCUUGGCACGAGCUGAGGACCAGACUAUUGCCCUACCACAGCUGAGGGCUGCCAUCUGGAACAGGGAUCAGUGCACCCUUUCCUGAAAACUCUUCAGCUGUACAUCACUACUGCUCACCUCUGUCCUAGAGGUCUGGAAGCAGCUGUAGAUACUCCACGCAGGAAUGAGCAUGGCCAGGUUCUAACAAAACUUUAAGGACACAAAAAUUAAUUUCAUGUAUUUUUAGCUUGUCAUAAAAUAUUUUUAUUUUUUAAAAUGUGUGUUUAUGGGUAUAAGAAUCUAGCAACCAUUCAUAUUUGUCCUUGGGGCUGUAGUUUCCCUAGCUGAUUUUCAACUGAUUCUGAGAUGACAUCCAAUGUCUCUUGGUGUUUCCACAGCAAGUGUUCAGCCAAUACUAAACAGCAGUGCCCUGUAACAUGGUCAGCAAGGUGGGUUGUGACUGUUCUACUGUAUGCUACCUGUUUGCAGAGAGUUGAUUCUCCUGCAUUUCUGGGCUGGAGGAGGAACUACUGUUGAGGGAACAUUGGUUUCAUGCUGCAUAAAUACAUACACACUGAGGCUCAAACUCAGGGUGUUGCUCACACUAACACCGUCACUGAGCUUCUUCUCCAGCCUUGGGUCUACAUCUUUACAGAAACAGUUCCUUGGCCAUGCAGUCCUAGGGUACGGAAGUGUUCUGACUUUAUGUCCUGGAGUUGAGAGGCCUUCAAGGGUUGGCCCAGGGAGAUGUGGCAAGGCUGAUUGUAUUUGGGAUCACCUUUUCCACCUGAUUUAAGACACAUGCACAUGGUGUCCCACCUGUCAAGACCCUGUGAUUGGCCAUACUGCACAAAGAAAAUUCUGGAGUCUCUCCCUCAUCACUUGUGAACAUUCACAGUGGGUGUGUACCGUGUGUGUCCCAGUGCUGCUUGUGGUAAGUUGCACAUUAUGUCCC
rnacentral:lncRNA from 1 species